GAUGAACGCUAGCGGCAGGCCUAACACAUGCAAGUCGAGGGGUAACUAGAGUGAUAGCAAUAUUACUUUGGCUAGACCGGCGCACGGGUGCGUAACACGUAUGCAACCUACCUUAUACUGGGGAAUAACUUCGAGAAAUCGGCGCUAAUACCCCAUAACACUGCGGAGAGGCAUCUCUUUGCAGUUAAAGCUCCGGCGGUAUAAGAUGGGCAUGCGUCCAAUUAGCUAGUUGGUGAGGUAACGGCUCACCAAGGCUACGAUUGGUAGGGGUUCUGAGAGGAUGAUCCCCCAAACUGGUACUGAGACACGGACCAGACUCCUACGGGAGGCAGCAGUGAGGAAUAUUGCGCAAUGGACGAAAGUCUGACGCAGCCAUGCCGCGUGCAGGAUGACGGCCCUAUGGGUUGUAAACUGCUUUUGUACGGGAAUAAACCCUUCUACGUGUAGGAGGCUGAAGGUGCCGUAAGAAUAAGCACCGGCUAACUCCGUGCCAGCAGCCGCAGUAA
rnacentral:rRNA from 1 species